UACGAAGGGGGCGAGCGUUGUUCGGAAUUACUGGGCGUAAAGGGCUCGUAGGCGGCCAACUAAGUCGGAUGUGAAAUCCCCAGGCUUAACCUGGGAACUGCAUCCGAUACUGGAUGGCUUGAAUCCGGGAGAGGGAUGCGGAAUUCCAGGUGUAGCGGUGAAAUGCGUAGAUAUCUGGAGGAACACCGGUGGCGAAGGCGGCAUCCUGGACCGGCAUUGACGCUGAGGAGCGAAAGCCAGGGGAGCAAACGGG
rnacentral:rRNA from 1 species